ensembl:piRNA 21ur-4162 ncRNA
UUCAGCGAUCGAAAGACAACA